rnacentral:tRNA from 6 species
CGGGGCAUGGCGCAGUUUGGUAGCGCACUCGCUUUGGGAGCGAGGGGUCGCAGGUUCAAAUCCUGUUGCCCCGA